rnacentral:rRNA from 1 species
UACGAAGGGGGCUAGCGUUGCUCGGAAUCACUGGGCGUAAAGGGUGCGUAGGCGGGUCUUUAAGUCAGGGGUGAAAUCCUGGAGCUCAACUCCAGAACUGCCUUUGAUACUGAAGAUCUUGAGUUCGGGAGAGGUGAGUGGAACUGCGAGUGUAGAGGUGAAAUUCGUAGAUAUUCGCAAGAACACCAGUGGCGAAGGCGGCUCACUGGCCCGAUAACUGACGCUGA